CUUACUCAAUUUCAAAGAACGGAC
rnacentral:siRNA from 1 species